CUACCCUUGACAUGUCUAGAAGUUACCAGAGAUGGUUUCGUGCUCGAAAGAGAGCUAGAACACAGGUGCUGCAUGGCCGUCGUCAGCUCGUGUCGUGAGAUGUUGGGUUAAGUCCCGCAACGAGCGCAACCCUUAUCAUUAGUUGCUACGCAAGGGCACUCUAAUGAGACUGCCGGUGACAAACCGGAGGAAGGUGGGGAUGACGUCAGGUCAUCAUGGCCCUUAUGGGUAGGGCUACACACGUCAUACAAUGGCCGGUACAGAGGGCUGCCAACCCGCGAGGGGGAGCUAAUCUCAGAAAACCGGUCGUAGUCCGGAUCGCAGUCUGCAACUCGACUGCGUGAAGUCGGAAUCGCUAGUAAUCGCGGAUCAGCUUGCCGCGGUGAAUACGUUCCC
rnacentral:rRNA from 1 species